rfam:Picea glauca, whole genome shotgun sequence.
AUGUACAUGCAUACAUCAUUAAUGCACUGGAUCCCAUUAGAAUUAUACAGUUAAGCAUGCUUGGGAUAGAGUAAUACUUGGAUGGGUGACCUCCCGAGAAGUCCUAGUGUUUUACAUG